UCGCUAUUGAAAUCAACAUGCCGCUGUGGUUCAGAAGUCAAACGGAGGUCAUCCUUUAUAUCCCCCCGCAGCAAUCUGCGACCAGGGACAAGUCAGCAGAGAACCCUGCCAUUUCCACUCCUGACAACUGCCUCAAUGUUACAAGACUAUCGGGAAUGGCUGUUUGGACUCUCAUUCUGACGGCACCCAUUCACUGCAGAAGAUCCACUGGUGAGCAAGUGAGGUAUGCUACAUUUCUCCAAAUCUGUUCAGAGGAAGAAACAAACUCACUACAUCUUGAAUGGCUUGGAGGUGAGAACCUUUUUUAGCAAAUCUUAAUUUCUGAUUGAACUAUUCCUUUAAAUUAAUUUGCUGAGCAAAGAAAGAGCAAACUCCUGGCCUGGAAUGUUUCCCAUAUAAGAAAAUUCAGAAAUUAGAUCUUCUAAAUACACUAAUUGUUUCUCAGAUUAGAUAAAAAAUUUCAUGCAAGUCACCAAAUGACCUGAACUUCCACAUUAAAUGUAUAUACUCUUACAGUAUACCAGAAAUUGUAUAAUUUUUAUUAUUAUUCUAAAGAAUGUAAAGAGAAACAUCUAAGACAAAGUUGAUAAUUAAAAUGUAUUUGAAAACUCAAUUACAUCAACAUUUUUUCCUGAAAGGAAUUUAAGUGUUACGUGUCUGAUUGACCUGCUUUGGUGUCUAAAAUGCAAAAAAAAAAAAAAAAAAAAAUUUAAAUAAAUAAAUAAUAGAUAAGAGGCCUAAGAGGUAAAGCAGAACACGUGUAGUUGUUUGUUGUGCUUGGCAGGUCCAUUCUCGCGGGCUCUUCACGUGUUGAGACUGGAUUAACUGUGUUUGUUGGAUGUGUUGAUGAAGUGGAAAUGGUGAUACUGAGUAAGUUUCUUUAGUCCACCUGACUGCACAUUAAUCCUGUUCUCAAGUUCUUUACAGGUGGAAACUCAAAACACAAGUGAUGCCUCAUUGGAAAGGCAUCUGGCACAAUGACCAUAAUCCUUGCUGUGGCCGUACAGUAUCUAACAUGUCAAACUAACUACACCACCAGUCAAACGUUUGGACACACCUACAGUACACAUUCAACCACAUUCAUCACAUUCAAAAAUAGUAAAGUCAUCGAAACCAAAUGCCAUUCCAUUUGUCUAGAUUCCUGCUACACUCUUAAGCAACUUCUCAACCAACUUUUAAAACAGUGUUGAAGGAGUUUUGUCAUGUUUGCUUUUGUUUGCAAUUUUCUAAUUAAAUUUCAGUCAUGUAAAGAGCUUGAUAUGUCUGGUGGUGUACAGCUCAGGCCUAAAUGAACGUUUUAUUGACAUGUAUUAGACUUUUAAAUGAGCAGUGCACACUUUUUAAGCAUUAGAAGCACAAAUUGCAUGGGAUUUCAUGUUUUUGGGUCUUGUGAGAAUGAAUAGAUAUUUUUAAUAAACUGCUUUCUAAAAUAAAAUUAAGCUACCCUUAAAAAAUGAUCUAUUUCUAAAUACAUCAAAUGUACAAAAUGAAAAAUCAAAUAACCUUAAAAUGGUGAUUUUGGCCCGUCACAUCUCAGUGGUCUUGACAUUCUAUAUUACUUUUUAUAUUAAAAAAAUUAAAUAAUAAAAUUAAAAUAAUAAAUAAUAAUAAAUAAAAUAACAAUAAAAAAAAUAUUGUUAUUAUUAUCAUCUGUUGAUUUGACAGUGCAUAACAGUGAAAAUAUGAUAUUGGGAAAAUAAUUUUAAUUAUAAAUGUAAAUUCUUAUUCCUAAAAAACACACCUCUAAUACUUGCACUCUCUAUUCUAUUUAUAUUCUAACUACUUGUCUUCUUUAUAAAAGAGAGAGCCUCUGACACUAGCAUACCCAUUCUUUUUCUAUUCUAUCUUCUUGUUUUCUAUUUAAUUAUUAUAAAACAUGACCCUCUAACACUAGCAUUCUCUAUUCUUUUUUUUGUCUUGUUUUAUUUUUAUUUUAUUAUUUUAUUUUAUUUUAUUUUUUUAAAAACCUCUAACACUAGCGUUCCCUUUUGUUUUUUUAUUCUAUCUACUUGUUUUUCUUUUUAUUUAUAAAAAAUAAAAAAUAAAUAAAAAGCCUUUCUACAUGUACUGCGUUAGGCUAACUGAGACUUGUCCCACCUUUUGUUAGUUUUGAUUGCUUUUAUCGUCCUCAUUUGUAAGUCCCUUUGGAUAAAAGAAUCUGUGGCCUAAUGGUUAGAGAAGCACGUCAGACAUUAAAGAUACUGUGAGAGAGUUAGAGCACUCAUUAACUCACGCCAAGACUCCUCGAUCCCCCCCCUUAACAAAAAUAAUGUCUUGUGUUUGGUCUACAUUCAGGGCAAUAGUUUGCAGCAAUUUGCCAGACAUUACAGAGAUUUUUUUUAUACACAGUAACUUUAUACCACUCUCUGAUUGUGUCCGCUCCCAGUAGAAAUCCCCACUCCAAGAUGAGGUGAGGGAAACUGAACUUGAAAUCAUUUUAGAAGAGUAGACCACUAUUAAAUAAUUUACACGUUUGAUUUAACUGAGGUUCUCGAAAAUGUAGUCAGUCUGUUUUCAAGCAACUUUAGCAAAGAAAAUAUUGUUUUUACUUUCUGUCUUUCACUUUUUCCACAGCCAUAAUAAAAUCUUGAAUCUCUUCCAGGAUUAAUACAAGUUACAGGAAUGGUUCUUCCAAAAAUGAGUAAUCUUAAAAAAGGCUACACAAAUUUUGAAAUAAAACUAGUUAACAUUCAGUGAUAGAAUUAUGCUUGUCUGAGCACCAUAUACAGCCUAAAUCCAGUAAUCAGUGUUAUUUUAGUAUUAUUUAUAUACUAUUGCAGUAUUUAUAAACAGUAUCUUUAGUCAUUUUUUGUGCUUGUCAUUUUAUUAUUAUAAAUAUAAAUCCCUAUAUAUCUUUAUAAAUAUCCUGUAUUGCUAUAUUACAGUUUUUGUUUAGAUAAUUUUAGUACUU
ensembl:lncRNA